GUCCGCAACGAGCGCAACCCUUAUCCUUUGUUUGCCAGCGGUCCCGGCCGGGGAACUCAAAGGAGACUGCCAGUGAUAAACUGGAGGAAGGUGGGGAUGACGUCAAGUCAUCAUGGCCCUUACGACCAGGGCUACACACGUGCUACAAUGGCGCAUACAAAGAGAAGCGACCUCGCGAGAGCAAGCGGACCUCAUAAAGUGCGUCGUAGUCCGGAUUGGAGUCUGCAACUCGACUCCAUGAAGUCGGAAUCGCUAGUAAUCGUGGAUCAGAAUGCCACGGUGAAUACGUUCCCGGGCCUU
rnacentral:rRNA from 1 species